GAAUUCGCCCUUAGAGUUUGAUCCUGGCUCAGGACGAACGCUGGUGGCGCGCCUAACACAUGCAAGUCGAACGGAGCUGUUUUCUCUGAAGUUUUCGGAUGGAAGAGAGUUCAGCUUAGUGGCGAACGGGUGAGUAACACGUGAGCAACCUGCCUUUCAGUGGGGGACAACAUUUGGAAACGAAUGCUAAUACCGCAUAAGACCACAGUGUCGCAUGGCACAGGGGUCAAAGGAUUUAUCCGCUGAAAGAUGGGCUCGCGUCCGAUUAGCUAGAUGGUGAGGUAACGGCCCACCAUGGCGACGAUCGGUAGCCGGACUGAGAGGUUGAACGGCCACAUUGGGACUGAGACACGGCCCAGACUCCUACGGGAGGCAGCAGUGGGGAAUAUUGCACAAUGGGGGAAACCCUGAUGCAGCGACGCCGCGUGGAGGAAGAAGGUCUUCGGAUUGUAAACUCCUGUCCCAGGGGACGAUAAUGACGGUACCCUGGGAGGAAGCACCGGCUAACUACGUGCCAGCAGCCGCGGUAAAACGUAGGGUGCAAGCGUUGUCCGGAAUUACUGGGUGUAAAGGGAGCGCAGGCGGAUUGACAAGUUGGGAGUGAAAUCUAUGGGCUCAACCCAUAAAUUGCUUUCAAAACUGUCAGUCUUGAGUGGUGUAGAGGUAGGCGGAAUUCCCGGUGUAGCGGUGGAAUGCGUAGAUAUCGGGAGGAACACCAGUGGCGAAGGCGGCCUACUGGGCACUAACUGACGCUGAGGCUCGAAAGCAUGGGUAGCAAACAGGAUUAGAUACCCUGGUAGUCCAUGCCGUAAACGA
rnacentral:rRNA from 1 species